CCCCUCUCCGCCUCCCUCGGCGCCGCCGCCCACCCCGCUGCUGCCGCCUCCGCCCUCCCGCCUCAGUCAGGACAUGGUCUCCGCGGGCCCGCGCGCGGCUCCCAGCGGCCGGAGGGGCGGAGAGGCGGCGCGGAGGCGGGGGCCGCGGCUCGGGGGCAGGGGCGGAGCGGACGAGGGACUGCCUCGGGCGCUGAGGACUCCGAAUGGCGGCGGUCAGGACCCUAGAGCUAAAUAAACCCCGCGGCGACCGCACAACGUCAGGGACUGGACCUUGCUGCUCGCCGUCCUGUGAUUGGUUCCGAGGCCGCCGGAAGUCCAGCCAAUAGACAGCCGGCUCUUUCCAGGCGCCGGAGGCGGGCCGCGGCCGCUGACGUCAGCAGCGUGCGUCCUGAUUGUGAGGCCGCGGCGCGCGCGGUCCCGCGACGCGUCCUCGGCGUUGGCAAGUGUCCCGAAGUGCUGGUACGGGAUGCAUGUGGAAGGCAGGAGGCAGGAGAAUUCUGAGUGCUCAGCACUGGAGUAAGAUGCAGCCUUUGCUGUGGAAGCCUUCAGAGUCCAGAUAAACCCCACAUUACAGAGGUUCGGAGGUUAGUCCAUGAUCAUCAUGGCAGGAAGCAUGGAGGCAGACGUGGUGCUGGAGCGGUAGCUGAGAGGGACACUGGACCUGGCGUGAGCUUCUGAAACCUCAAAAAAACGUGACACACUUCCUCCAACCAGGCCACCCUCCUAGUCCUUCUAAUCCUUUCAAAUAGUGCUGUUCCCUGGUGACUAAGCCUUCAAAUACAUGAGCCUAUGGGGGCCAUUCAAACCACCACAGAUGGCUCAGCCAUUAAGAGCACUGGCUGCUUUCCCAGAGAACCCAGGGUCAAUUCCAAGAACCCACAUGGCAGCUCACAACUUCCUGUAAUUCUAGACCCAGGGAAUCGGAUACCUUCUUGUCUUCAUGGUAACUGCAUACAUGUGGUGCACAGACAUACACGUGGGCAAGAGACCCUACAUAUUAAAUAAAAGUAAAGAUAAAUUUUUAAAUAAAAAAUUAAUUAAUUAAAAUAAUGUCUAUACCUCAAAAUAGCACUGCAUUUAGAGAUGGGGGUCUUUAAAGGGGAAAUUAAGGAACUAGAGAGAUGACGCACCAGUUGAAAGCAUUGACUGCACUUCCAGAGGACCUAGGUUUGAUUCCCAGCACCCACAUGGAAGCUCACAACUGUCAUUAACUCCAGCCCCAGGGAAUCUGAUGCACAUGGUGAACAGACAUAUGUACAGGCAAAACAUUCAUACAAAUAAAAUUCAAUAAUAAUAAUAACAACAACAACUGGUUCUGGAAGAGCAGCCAGUGCUCUUAACAUUAUAUGAAAAACAAAAAUCCAGGGGCUGGAGAGAUGGCUCAGUGGUUAAGAGCAUUGGCUGCUCUUCCAGAGGACCUGGUUCAAUUCCUAGCACCCACAAGGCAGCUCACAACUGUCUAUAACUCUCGUUCCAGGAGAUCUGACCACCUCACACAGACAUACAUGCAUGUAGAACACCAACACACAUAAAAUAACAAAAACAAAUAUAUUAUUAAAAAAAAAUAAAGAACAAUUUAGGGGCUGGAGAGAUGGCUCAGUGGUUAAGUGCACUGGAGAGGACAGGUUUCCAGAGAAACCCAGGUUUGAUUCUCAGCAUCUACAUGGCAGUUUACAAACAGCUACAACUCUGGGGAUCUGACACGCUAUUCUGGUCUUUGAGGGUACUGUAUAUAUGUGGUGCACAUACAUGCAGACAAAACACCCAUACACAUAAAAUAGAUAUAUAUAGAGAGAUGGAUAGAUAGAUAGAUAGAUAGAUAGAUAGAUAGAUAGAUAAAAUAAUAAUGGUAAUUUAAAAAUAAAUAAGUUUAAAACUAGGGGUAGGUUUAUAGAAAUUGACUUCUUCAAUCCAAUAGAAUUGCUACAAAAAAAGGGCCCAGCCCAUUGUGGAUGGUGCUAUUCCUGGGCAAGUGGCCCUGGAUGGCAUAAGAAAGCAGGCUGAGCAAGCCAACAAACAGCAUCCUUCCAUUGCUUCUGCUUCUGUUCCCACUUCCAGUUUCCUGACUUUAGUUCCUGCCCUGACUUCCUUUGAUGAUGGACCGUGCUGUGGAGCAGAAGCUGAGGCAAACCCUUUCUCCCCAAGCUGCUUUUGGUCACGAUGUCUUGUCCCAGCAAUAGCAACCUGAACAAAGGUCGGAGUGAUGGCCGAUAAGGGACAGGCAGGGGAAUUCUCAAGCACAGUGUGUCCUAUUUCUUUUCAUUUUUAUUCGUGUGUAUGAGUGUUUCGUCUGUGUGUAUGUAUGUGCACCACCUGUGUGCCCAGUGCGCAGGGAGAUCAGAAGAGGGCAUCAGAUGGUUAUAGGCUGUAGCCAUAAGUUUCUCCAGUUCUGUCUGGCCCCACCAUCAGGACGAGUCUCUCUCAUCUGUGUUGUGCAGCUGCUUGGUCCCAAGUAAACACACAGAGGCUGAUAUUACUUACAAACUGUAUGGCCUAUGGGUCAGGCUUCUUGCUAGCUAGCUCUUAUAACUUAAUUCAACCCAUUUCUGUUCAUCUAUAUGUUGCCACAUGGUUAUGGCAUUAUCCGUCCGCUGGCAUCACCGGUCUGCUGGCAUCUUGUUGCUCCUUGGGUGGCGGGCUGGCAUCUCUCCCAUCCUGCCUUUCUCUUUCCUGUAUCUCUGCUUGGAUUUCCCACCUGCCUCUAAGCUGCCUUGCCAUAGGCCAAUGUGGCUUAUUUAUUAACCAACCAGAGCAACACAUAUUCACAGCAUACAGAAAGACAUCCCCACAGCAGUGAUCUACUAUGUGGGUGCUGGAAACCCAGAUUCUCUGGAAGAACAAGCGGGGUUUUUUUUGUUUUUUUUUGUUUUGUUUUGUUUUACUGCUGAGCCCUCUCUCCAGCUCUAUGAUCCAUUUCUUGAUCUUCAGGCCAGUUACCGAGCUGAGGUGACUGGGAAAAUUCCAUAUGUUUAUGAUUCGUGUCCUUUUCUGUGCUAUUAUACCUUGGUUAAAAACUUACUUGAACAAAAGAGAAGAGAAGGAAAAGAAAGCAGGAAGGGGUGGGGAAGAAAGAGGAGGGUCAGGAAUGGGGCUGGACACUGGUCCUGCCUGGUCUCAGGGUGCCUGGAAUGCUCCGGUGUACUCACAUGGUUUGGUUGGGGACAGAUGGUUUGAAAGAGGUGCCAGAACUCUCUCCCACCCACCUCUGCUCCUGAGGGCUUGGCCGUCACUCAGCCUUGUCCAUAAUUCUGCACACCCUCCCUGGUGCAUGGAGAUAUGAGUGCCAGCCCUCCGGAUACAGAGCUGGAUUAAUUUGAUCCUCCACCUGGGUGUCUGUGCGUAGGCAGGCUGAGGGAAUGUGCAGGUGGAAUCCAUGUUGAGCUGCUAAGAUGGCCUUGACCUCCACCAAAGGUGGCCUUCCCUGUCCAAGCUGGGCUAAUGGGGGAGGGAGCAAGUGUGCCAGUCAGAAAGAGGGUUCCAGAGAUUGCAGCUGCCCCAAGUGUGGUCCCUUUGUCCUUGUCUGGCUCUGGCUUGCAUACAUUGAAAGUGCCAGGACACUGCGAAGGGCAUUUCAGGCUGGGUGAGGGGACAGCCAUACAUCCUAAACUGGCUGCCAAGCCCUGUGGGGCUUCCAGAACACUUGCGUGUUUCUGCUUGCUUUUUGCUUAUGUCUAUCUGGGGCAGGAGCUGUCCUUUCCUGGGUUAGCACUCACCGAGCUCAUCUUAAUUGGGAGCAGCUACAGAGGAGGCAGGAGGCUCCCUCCUGGAUUUUUCAGCAGCUUUGUGACAUUGGGUACAUCAUGAUGCACACCAGCCUCUCUGGUCCCCUCCUUAAGAGACAGAUGCUCAGCAUCCUUGGCUGGCCAGUGUUGUAGCCACUAGCCACACAGCUAUUUAAGCAAAAUUGCAUUAAAUUUUAAAGUGUGUGUGAGAGCAUGCAGGUGUACAAACAGAAGCCAGAGGAAGAUGUGAGCCACUCUCCACCCUAUCUCCUUGAGACAAGGUCUCUCACUGAAUCUGGAGCUUGCUUUGGGGCUAGUCUGGUAGCUAGCAAGUCCCAGUGGUCCUCCUCCACCCCCAUCCUCAGUGCCGGGGUUACAAGUGUCCUUGGGUGUUUUGACACGGCUUUGGGGAUCUGAACUCAUGUCCUCAUGAUCUUGCAGCAAGCACUCUUACUGAACCAUCUCCCCUGCCUCCCUUUCUUCUUGAUUUCGACACAGAAUCACAUAUUCCAGGCUAGCCUCCAGCUUGCCGUGUAGCUGAAUUAAAACUUCUGAUCUUUCCUCUUUCACCUCCCAACUGCUGGGAUUACAGGCAUGAACCCCUGUGCCUGGCUUGCACAGUGCUGGGAACAAACCAUGGACUACUUCCUGGGGCUAUGCAAGUACUCUAUCCCCAGCCCCUAAAACUCAUUUUUUUUUUUUUUUUUUUUGAAUUGCCAGGCACAUUUGCGAGCUCAGUAGCCCACGUGACCUGAGGCAGACUGCGCUAAACAGUGCUGAGGCGGGACAUUGGGACAGAAGGUUCUAUUGGACAGUGCUGGCCUGGCCCCAUCUGUACUUCUAUUUCCUAUAUCCUGCUUCAUUUUCAGAGUACAGCUCUCAGGGCUUGGUUUUUUCCUUCCACUGUGGGUUCUGGGGAAUCUAGAUACAUUUCCUUUUUCAUUCUGACCAAAGCUCACCAAAAGACCAAUCUAGCCAACUGAUAACAUUUAGGAAAGGCACUUGAUGCUUGUGGCUGGCCAUCUCCCACACUUAGCCCAUGCUCCUCCAUAGAGCCCGUUCUGUGGAGUAGCUCAGAGAACAGGGCUCUCAGCACCCACCCCUGCUGGUUCUGGUCUAUAAAACCAGUCAUCAUGGAGGAAAGCUUAAUCCUGGACAAUAGUAACCUCAACUUACUGUCCUCUACACUUUGUUUUCAAGAUCUUAUGCUCUGCCCCUAACACAGCCUUCUGAAAUAAGUAUUGUCACCCAUCUGUAACUGCAGAUGGGGCGGGCUCCGAGACAGGGACUGAUUGCCCUAGGAUGUGUAAUUAAGGAAAGUACAGGGCUAAGAUUCCAGCUGAAGUCUUUUUGUUUUGUUUUUGCUUUUUGAGACAGGGUUUCUCUGUGAAACAGUACUGGUUAUCCUCAAACUCACUCUGUAGACCAGGCUGGCCUCGAACUCACAGAGAUCUGCCUGCCUCUGCCUCCUGAAUGCUGAGAUUAAAGGCGUGCGUCACCACUGCCCAGCCCAACUCGAGUCUUGCUUUGGGUUCUCUUAGCCUACUUCCUAGGCCUGGGCCAGGUGACCCGAUGGCCAGGUGGCCCCUGAGUUCUAUACUUCAUCACAGAAAUGGUUGAUGUUCUCCUUGAGACAGUGGUGUGUUUGACAGCAAGGGACGCAGGAGAGAGGCCAGGACUGAGGAGACAGGACAUCUUCUAAG